GAUUAUGGCUCAGAACGAACGCUGGCGGCAGGCCUAACACAUGCAAGUCGAGCGCGCCCUUCGGGGUGAGCGGCGGACGGGUUAGUAACGCGUGGGAACGUACCCUUUGGUAGGGAAUAGCCACUGGAAACGGUGAGUAAUACCCUAUGAGCCCUUCGGGGGAAAGAUUUAUCGCCAAAGGAUCGGCCCGCGUUAGAUUAGGUAGUUGGUGGGGUAAUGGCCUACCAAGCCUACGAUCUAUAGCUGGUUUUAGAGGAUGAUCAGCAACACUGGGACUGAGACACGGCCCAGACUCCUACGGGAGGCAGCAGUGGGGAAUCUUGGACAAUGGGGGCAACCCUGAUCCCAGCCAUGCCGCGUGAGUGAAGAAGGCCUUAGGGUCGUAAAGCUCUUUCGCCUGUGAAGAUAAUGACGGUAGCAGGUAAAGAAACCCCGGCUAACUCCGUGCCAGCAGCAGC
rnacentral:rRNA from 1 species